rnacentral:rRNA from 1 species
UGUUAGCGGCGGACGGGUGAGUAACACGUGGGUAACCUGCCUGUAAGACUGGGAUAACUCCGGGAAACCGGAGCUAAUACCGGAUAGUUCCUUGAACCGCAUGGUUCAAGGAUGAAAGACGGUUUCGGCUGUCACUUACAGAUGGACCCGCGACGCAUUAGCUAGUUGGUGAGGUAACGGCUCACCAAGGCGGACGAUGCGUAGCUACCUGAGAGGUGAUCGCCACACUGGGACUGAGACACGGCCCAGCCUCCUACGGGAGGCAGCAGUAGGGAAUCUUCCGCAAUGCACGAAAGUAAACUGUGUCCCCUACGUAUCUAUUGGGUCCCCUAUCGACUACUACCCUCGUUAGGGAAGCGAAUAAAGAUAGGGCUUCACGUGGCUUGUUAAUCGACACCGAGACCUACAGCGGCUCUUGAAUACCAAGAUGGGUUUCCUUGGGAAGAUGACAGUGGCAUGUGUGUCAGGCGGUUCUUAAGUCUGGUUAAUCCCGCAACGAGCGCACCCUGUUUGUUCCAGCAUCAGUGGCACUCUAGGUGACGCCGGUGACAACCGGAGGAAGGUGGGGAUGACGUCAAAUCAUCAUGCCCCUUAUGACCUGGGCUACACACGUGCUACAAUGGACAGAACAAAGGGGUGCGAGACCGCAAGGUUUAGCCAAUCCCACAAAUCUGUUCUCAGUUCGGAUCGCAGUCUGCAACUCGAAUGCGUGAAGCGGAAUCGCUAGUAAUCGCGGAUCAGCAUGCCGCGGGAAUACGUUCCCAGGCCUCGUACACACCGCCCGUCACACCACGACGACGUUUGCAAGCACCCGAAGUGCGGUG